GACCGCGUAGCUCAGUUGGAAGAGCAUUGGGCUAGUAUUCCAAAGGUCGUAGGUUCGAAUCCCACCGUGGCCA